UCUCCGUUGGUGAACCAGCGGAGGGAUCAUUACAGGAUUCGCAAGAACUCCCGUAACCACUGUGAACCUUACCUUCUGUUUCCUCGGCGGGCUCGCCCGCCAACGGGGACCACAAAGAAACCUCUUGCAGUUGCAGUAAACGUCAAAAACAAAACAAAAAUCAAAACUUUCAACAACGGAUCUCUUGGUUCUGGCAUCGAUGAAGAACGCAGC
rnacentral:misc_RNA from 1 species